rnacentral:rRNA from 1 species
AAUUAAAAGCAUUCGACGGAUACCUUGACAGAGUAAAGAUAGGACGUUACACACAACGAAACGGCAUAAGGAGAAGUGAAUAUUCUGUGAUUUAUGACCUAUCCUUGGAAAACCAAACCGUAAAUUGUAAAAAAGAUUUUACCAUAGGCAGAACCGAUUGCUUUUGUUGCUAGCAACAAGCAAUAGCAAAAGUAGAAGAUUAUUAUAAUUUACCAGCAAAUAGAGCGAAGUGAAACAUCUAAGUAGCUCUUAAAAAAAAUCAACCGAGAUUCCGUUAGUAGUUGUGAGCGAAAACGGAAUAGGCCAUUCUUAUUGUUUACAAAAACCUUAAGAAGAUCCAAAAUUUAUUAUUUUGAAAACUUUUACUAUUAGAAAUAACAAUAAAAGAAACUGCUUUAAAACAUUUUUUGGAAUAUUGUGCCAAAGAGGGUAAAAGCCCCGUAAAAGUUUUUUCUUUUAUAAAUUGGAUUAUUGAGUACAACGAGAAUCUCUCUUGUUGGAAAAAAGGGGGACCACCCUCUAAGCCUAAAGAAAUGCUCUGAUCGAUAGUGAACAAGUACCGUGAGGGAAAGGUGAAAAGAACCCUAAGCAAGGGAGUGAAAUAGAUCUUGAAAUCGAAUGCUUACAAAUCAGUUAGAGUUUUGCUUAUAUUUAAUAAACAAAUUUUUACAUACCUCUCAUAGAAGUAUACAUGAAAAUUAUCAUUAUAAUAGCAAAAUAAUAGCUUACCUUUUGCAUAAUGGGUCAGUGAGUAAGUGUAAAAAGCAAGCUUAAACCGAUAGGUGGAGGCUAAAAUAACAUGUUUUUGCGCAUUACAUUGCUAAUAUUGCUUUAGUAAAGCAAAGUAACUCAAUAAGCUUGCUGUUACUUUCGAUAUUACCUCCGGCGUCAUGACUGCGCCUUAAUACACCAAAGGUAAUAGCGACGUUUCUACUAAAAAGCAAAACUCUCAAUUAUCGUUGAGAAAGCAUUUGCCUUCACUUUCAUUGAAUAUUGAAGGCAACAUCCCUUAGUGAUAGCAAAGCCAUAACCUUUUGUAUUUGUCUAAAAGGCAAGAAACAUCCUCUGGUUAUUAGCUUCACCUUUGAUGUAAGCUAAAGCUUUGUGACAACAAGAAGAGCGCAUUGUUUUCUACACUUGACCCGAAACCAAGUGAUCUAAAUAUGAGCAAGUUGAAAAAUGGGUAAUACCAUUUGGAGGACUGAAUCCACGUCUGUUGCAAUAGGCGGGAAUGACUUGUAUUUAGGGGUGAAAAGCCAAUCGAACUUGGAUAUAGCUGGUUUUCUGCGAAAUCUAUGUAGGUAGAGCGCAAUAUUUAUAAAAGGGGGGUAGAGCACUUCGCGGUUGAGGGCGGUCAAAAACCGUACCGAUCUCAUGAAAACUCCGAAUACCAUUUAUAUAAAGAUAUUGUAGACAGACUUUCGGUGCUAAGAUCGAAAGUCAAAAGGGAAAAAGCCCUCAUCGUUCGUUAAGGUCCCUAAGAAGCUUUUUAGUGGGAAAGAUGAUAUAUAUGCGAAGACAACCAGCAGGUAGGCUUGGAAGCAGCCAACCUUUAAAGAAAGCGUAAUAGCUCACUGGUCUAGCGUAAAUAGCUCAAAAAUGUAACGGGUCUUAAAAAGCUCACCGAAACGACGACAUGUUUUUUUUCAAAAAAAAAAGAAAAAAAAAUGGGUAGCAGAACGUUCUGUAAAUCAAUGAAGAAAUAGCGUAAGCUUUUUUGGAGAAAUCAGAAGUGAGAAUGCUGACAUGAGUAACGUUAAAUCAUGUUGAAUUCAUGAUCGCCGGAAGUUCUAGGUUUUCCACAAGUUGUAUUUCAAUGUGGAGUUAGUCGGCCUCUAAGAAAAAAACGAAAGUAUCUUUUGAUGGGAAUAAAAAAGAAUAACUCUUUAAAUAGAACUUAAUCUUUUUUACGUUUUUUGCUUAUAUAUAAAAAUGGUGACGAGGGUUAAAAAAAAAGGCAAACAAAAAAUACGGUGGCAUCAUGGCAAAGCCAUGAAUCGAGUUAUUUUGCUUUUGCCAAAGUCGAUUGUUUGGCAAAUUUCUUUAGAUAUCGCAAGCAAAAAGCAAAAGCCAUAGUUUUAGUUUUAGCCUUUUUUAUCUAUUUUUUUUUUAAUUGGAUUAUUUAAAUUAAAUCGGUAACUCUACAGGAAAUAACCGUUUUUACUCUCUCUUUUUUAUUUUUUUUUGUUAAAAAGAUUGUAACUAAAACAAACGAUUUACAAAGCUUUGCUUAGUAUUUGGUACAAUCUAAUAAAUUAUAGAAAGAAAAGCAUAAACACCGUACUUAAACCAACACAGGUGAACAGGUAUAUUUUACCAAGGCGAAAAGAUAACUAUUUUUAAGGAACUCGGCAAAUUUACUCUGUAACUUCGGAAUAUAGAGGACCUUUUUUUAAAGGUGACAUAAAAAAGGGAGUAGCAACUGUUUACUAAAAACACAUGACUCUGCAAAAUAUAAAAUCAAGUAUAGGGUCUGACAUUUGCCCGGUGCUGGAAAAAUAAUGGAAAAAGUAAAACAUAGCGGUUGUCACUCUCACCGAAGGUAUUCGCCUUCGCGACGUGAUCGCCUAUAGUCUGUGAUAACGCUUUUGAAACAAGUCCCAGUAAACGGCGGUCGUAACUCUAACGAUCCUAAGGUUAACCCAGAAAUUUGUUAUAUCGCUAGCCUUAGUAAAACCAAACCAUAUGCUGGAAACUUCUCAACAGUAAUCGUAUUCGAUUACAUAAAUUGUUGUGCUCUAUUGAUUUCCAUAUCUUUUAGCAAGCACCUCUAUCAACAGCUCGUUAGUACUCAUUGUUUUUAAUAGAUAAGAUUGUCUAAUCCAAAAGGCUAUAUAGAUCAAUAGACUUGUUGCCUAGAGGAAGAGGCAUCUUUGAUGCCAAAAACAAAAGUAAAAAUCUAAGAGACACGGGGACAAUCAGCAGGAAAGACUUUUUUUAAUAAAAAAAUAGAAUCCUCAGAGACUAAUACGUUUGGCAACUUAUAAACAAUAAAAAUGAUUAUGCAAUUACAAGCACAGUGGAUUGUAGGUUUUAUAGAUGGCGAAGGCUGCUUCUCUGUAACGAUAAACAAGCCAAACUCUAUGAAAAUUGGCUAUCAAGUUUUACCUGAAUUUGUUGUAGUGCAACAUGAAAGAGAUAUCAAACUGCUUUAUGCUUUAAAAGCUUAUUUUCAGUGUGGUGUUGUUCGAAAAAAUCAUGGUGAUAGACAAUGUUAUCGUGUAAGAGAUCUCAAGAGCCUUCAAGACAAGAUAAUACCUUUUUUCGAAAAACAUGGUUUAAAAACUUUAAAAAAUGUUGAUUUUUUAAAGUUUAAGCAGAUUAUAAAGAUUAUGUAUGAAAAAAGGCAUCUCACUAUUGAAGGAUUAAAUGAAAUAAAAGCUAUAACAUCUAAAAUGAACGAUCGUGCAAAAAAAAGAAACGAUAACAUAUUAUAAGUUGAAGAUAGAGUCCAGCUCUCUUCUACAAAAAAGACAAUUAUCAUUUUAUACAUCCCUCCGCAAGGAGAAUCAAUUACUCUUGUCCCUCCGUAGGAAAAAUCGAGUAAUGGAUGAUAUCUUUGUCAUCUUUAUAUAGUUUAUAUAAAGCAAGAUAGAAAAUAGGCCCGAAAGGGGAGAGAUACACUGAGCGAAAUUCCUUGUCUGGUAAGUUCAGACCUGCACAAAUAAUGUAAUGACUGCUCCGCUGUCUCAAAAAUAGACUUAGUGAAAUUGAAAUCUCCGUGAAGAUGCGGAGUAUCUGAAAAAAGACGGUAAGACCCUAUGCACCUUAUACUGUAACUUGUCAUUGAGAAAUUUGAUCAAUUGUGUAGGAUAGGUGGGAGUUUUUUAUAAACGUCCUUGAAAUACCACCCUUUUGCUCUGUUUUUUCUAACCUAAUAUGAGGAACAGUGACAGGCGGGCAGUUUAAUUGGGGCGAUUGCUUAAAAAAGAGGUUACUCCUUAUUGAGCCAUUAGUUGUUAACUAUUGCAAAUCUGGCUAUAUGCUGGAAAAUCCUCAACCAUCGUUGAGAUCACCGGAGGUGACGCCUAUACCUUCUCAACGACAUACAAAGCAAAGCUUUGUAAAAAAUCUUUUAGAGAAAAAAGAGGACAAUCAGCAGGGAAGUUGCUUUUUCUAGAUAAGCUUUUAACAUAGUAACCGCUUUUCAAAGUAGAAGAAAGCGUUACUUUGUCUAAAGAGUUAUAAAGCUAAAGCAACCCCUCAACGACUUUACGCCAGAAACCUAGACAAAAACGUCUUGGUUAUAAUAUAGUCUUAACUUAACAGCGAUGUUAAGCAGGAUUCUAAAAAAAAGAAAAAAAACCGAUAAAGUUGUAGCUGUAAAGUUAAAAGGUUUUUUAAAAUAGAAUCUAAAAAAAAUUGUCUAAAGAGUAACGAAAGCGCACGAAGGUAAGCUCCAACUGGACGGAAACCGGUUUUAGAGCGCAAUAGCAUAUGCUUGCCUGACUGUAAGACAAACAAGUCGAGCAGGCACGAAAGUGGGUUAUAGUGACCCGGGGGUAUCGUGUGGAAGAGCC